GUGGGGAAUUUUGGACAAUGGGCGCAAGCCUGAUCCAGCCAUGCCGCGUGCAGGAUGAAGGCCUUCGGGUUGUAAACUGCUUUUGUACGGAACGAAAAAGCUCUCUCUAAUACAGGGGGUGAAUGACGGUACCGUAAGAAUAAGCACCGGCUAACUACGUGCCAGCAGCCGCGGUAAUACGUAGGGUGCAAGCGUUAAUCGGAAUUACUGGGCGUAAAGCGUGCGCAGGCGGUUAUGUAAGACAGAGGUGAAAUCCCCGGGCUCAACCUGGGAACUGCCUUUGUGACUGGAUAGCUGGAGUGUGGCAGAGGGGGAUGGAAUUCCGCGUGUAGCAGUGAAAUGCGUAGAUAUGCGGAGGAACACCGAUGGCGAAGGCAAUCCCCUGGGCCUGCACUGACGCUCAUGCACGAAAGCGUGGGGAGCAAACAGGAUUAGAAACCCCUGUAGUCC
rnacentral:rRNA from 1 species